CUUCCUCCUUGGGUGUCUUGUAUAGCUGGAGAGCCCCUUUGUCUGUUGGCUUCAGGGGCUCCUACCAUUUUCUAAGAUGUGAAAUGGCUGCAAUGAGAAAACUGUCCAUAUCUGCAUAAUUCAUACCAGUGAAAGCAGAUCUACAGACAUUUAGUAGCAAUCAAUCACUUAUACUUGCUGUACUAUGUUAUCAAAGGCCUUUGAUCAGCUCAUAUGGUAAUAGCUGGGAAACAGCUCAUUCCUUAUGAAAUGUAGCAGAAUUUCCUUUACUUUUCCUUCCUGAAUUCUGAAAGCACAAUGCCAAGCUGAAUAUCUUCAGUGUCAAUGGAGAUAUGAGGGCAGACAGGACCAUCCUGAAGUUCAAAGAAUUCAUGUAAGAAUCAUCUUUAAAGAUGAAAUUCUUUUCAAGGUGCAGGAGAGUAUUGUUCUCAGGACAGAAGAACAAGGCAAAGGACUCAGAGGUUCAGGGUGAUGUAUCUAGAAAAUAAAAGGAUGAUGAAACUACUGUUUACUAAGAAGCUUUAUAAAAGAUGUAAGUAUGAGCAAAGCAUAAGGAGUGAAUUAGAAGUUACCUGAGGAUGAAAGGAUAAAUAGAACAGAAUCCCUAGCCGAAUAAAAAGAGGAAAACAUAAUUGUGCACUUUAAGGUGUGAACGAUCUCCUAACAAAGUGCAAAACACUGAAGGUGUUUUGGUUGUCAGUGAUCCUUUGGCCAGACAGAUUGCCUUUGCUUAACACUAAGUCUGCAAAUGUAAAACCUGGAACAAUAAUAACAAGGUUCUUUGAAAAUCAUCUGGAAACUGAAAGCUCUUCAGAGAAUGUCAGUCCAUAGUAGUUGUAAUUUGCACUGUAGAGAACCACUGUUUACAUCCUUUGUUUUCAUUCCCAUAGAGAUGUAUGUACAUAGCCAUACAUGCUUUCUAGGGAUUCUCUGUUUUAAUUUCUAUCACCAUUUAAAUCAUUUUUUUUUCUUCUAAAUGUGUUGUAACUUAUACUUUCUCUAAGUUAGUACUUUACUGUAGACCUCUUUAGUAUAAUGUCUCAAGACCUACUUUCUUAUUAUUUCCUCUACUCAUAUUGGUGUUUGCAUUUUAAUGCCAUUUAGUAUCAUAUUGAAAACUCAUUUAUAUACUGUGUAUUUCUCCUUCCAGACCAUUAAGGAAGAAGUUAAUUAAGACUGGAAACAUCAAUUAUUUUUGUAGCUCUAAAAUCAGCGCUUCUUCCAAUACAUCAUCUUUCUUUCCUUAUAGCUUUUUGCUUAGUUCUUUAGCUUAUUUAAAAUUCUUGUAAAUCUUUCAACCAUGAUAAUUUAGAUUAAUUUUGAGUGCAGGAUUUUACAAAAUGCUGUGUUAAAUACUUUACAUGAUGUUUGCACUGUUUUCUUCAUUCACUAAUCUGAAAUAUUUUUCUAUUUCAAGAAUCGUAUUUGUCUAGCAAACAUUCAGCUUUCAUACUUGCAGUUUAUCUAAGUUUAUUUUCUUUUUUCCUGUCCUUCCAACUAACCCUAAUUAUAAUUUCAUUGCCUUCCCUUGACCAAGUUAGUAUAUUUAUUUCACAAAUAAUUUAGUAAUGGUUCCUGAAACUAAAUAUUUUUUGUUUCCAUUCUUUUUAGCGUUAAAAUGAUGGCAAUUUAUCUAUGUUAGUCCUGUUGGUUUCCAGGUCUUGAAACAUAACCUAAAAUAAUUAAUUGUUUUAAUGAAGUUUUCUGGCAUUGUAAAUAUUUUUGUCUUAUA